CCAGCUCAGAGGAGGAGGAGGGAGAGGCAGGCACCUUCUGUCCAACAGGAAGAAGGAACCCAAGACUGAAGACCCACAGCUAAAGAUGAUGAAACUAAGACUAAGAGAAGUUCACCAACUUGUCCAAGGCCACAACUCACAGUGGAAUCUGAACUCGGCUCCAUAUGACUCGAGUCCCACGAUCUUUUCAUGUUCCCUGCUACCUCUCCCUCUCAGCCUGCUACAGUGAUGGGACAUUUAUGAACUUGCAAAAUGCUUUCUCACAAAUGAUCUUAUUUGAUUUUCACAAACAUGUGUGAGGCAGGUAUAAGUUCUGUUCUAUGGAUGAACAAUUGGUCUUCAGGUAAAGAACAACUUGUCCAAGGUCAAAUAGCUGAUAAGUAUCUGGGAACUGGGACCUAAAUACACAUUUGAUGAGUAACUUUGCCACAAUAUCUUAUCUGGACACUUGAAAACAUACUCCAGCCCUGUCAUAAACCCAGGAGAAUUUGAAGAUGUCCCUCCCUACUUACAGCCUGGUUUCAUGAUCACUAGAAACUUGUUUAACUAAAC
rnacentral:lncRNA from 10 species